AUGUUAUUAUUUAGUCUAUUAUUCAUUAUCAUCACAGGCUUUAAGUUGGGGGUUUUAUUGAUCCAAUACCGUUGUGAUUGUGUCUGGUUUGGGGAGGUUUUCUUGAUCCAAUACCGUUGUGAUUGUGUCUGUUUUGGGGGAGGUUUUCUAUUCUCUUUUAAAGGGUGUGUAUGUGAUUUUGAAAAGGUUGAAACAUGUAAUAGCAGAUUCCCUCAGAGCGGUUUCACAACACUCUGGGGGGUCUGUUUAGAGCUUCGUGUAUUAGGGCUCGAUUCAAUCCAUUGCUGCAGUUCAGCGUUAAAACACGAUUUGACAUUUUAAAAGCAAUCGUCCCGCUGAGACUGCAUUCGUGGUAAACGCUGCGUAAGUCGGCUCAAUGGGAGGUGAGCUUCGGCGGUACGGAUUGAAUUGAGUCCUUUUUAGUUAUUCAUAUGUAUCAGAUCUACUUUCUAGACGUGUAUCUACGCCACGGUGCACAGCUGUGCUGAAGCUGAGAGCCUUCUUUCUCUCUCCACUUCAGAUUCAUCCGCCACACACCUGCUCAGUCGUACUGCUUCUGUACCUGUCGCUCCAGUUGAAACACUAACAGACAUGUAUUCAUUAUGACGAUAUACAGGCAAGGCGGUGCAUCUGAGACCAGGCUAGGAGGUCCCUUAAUGCUCUGUGUUGAGACGAUAUAGAUGUCUUCUCAAUCUUCAGACCCAGAAUUACAAGGCCUUUUGUUUCAUUGUGACAUUUCAACAGAAAAAAACAUCAAAGGAAAACAGAUGUUUGUUGUUUUUUAAUUAUUAAUUUAUUUCUUUUUGUUUGUUUGUUUGGGGAAGUGCAUAUUGUUUGUUUGUUUGGGGAAGUGCAUAUUGUUUGUUUGUUUGGGGAAGUGCAUAUUGUUUGUUUGUUUGGGGAAGUGCAUAUUGUUUGUUGAAGCACGUGUCCAGUGGUGACUGUGGGAUUUACAAUAGGUCUUUAUAUCUGCUGUAAUUGUUCUAAUAAAAAGGGUUUGGAUUCUGGGAAAGUUCGAUGUAUUUAUUUGGCUUUGUGAUAUCUAAUACUUUAUGUUGAUUUGAGGUGCGUUUCAAAAUGUCGUUCAUUGUGGGAUUUUACCAGGCAUUCCUCUUUUAUGUUGCAGUUUUCUGUAAUGGCAUGAGUUUUCCUGCCCAGUUUGUAGUCCUACAUUAUUUUUCAUUAGACUGUUGCCAUCUAGUGGUGAAAGGAGGUAUAAAAGUGUGUACAUUGAGGCCUGCAUCUAAUACUGUUGGUUUUUCCACAAUACCUCUCGAUCUCCUGGCAGCCGCCUCAACAGCACUGGAAAAGGUCAACACUCCAUCCCAUUUGACAAAAAGCCUGUGCAUUACUGUUCCAUAGCAUGCGAGUCUAGUAGAAGGUUAGGAGGGUUCAGUAGGGAACUAGCUGAGCUCUCUGCUACUGAGUUCAAGCCCUGGGUGGUAAGCUUCCUGACUGCAGGGUACUGAGUUCAAGCCGUGGGUGGUAAGCUUCCUGCCCACUGACUACAGAGUACUGAGUUGAAGCCCUGGGUGGUAAGCUUCCUGCCCACUAACUACAGGGUACUGAGUUGAAGCCCUGGGUGUGGCAGGUUGUGUGUCUGAGUCGCAGCCUCUCUGGGUCAAUCUGAGAGGUUAUGGAGAUUAUCUCCUGGACAUUUAGAGACAACUUUUAUCAGAGGUUUUCCUCCACAACCUCUUCUGGUUACUCCUCUGGAGCCCCAGGAUUGAACCCCAAAGCCACAUUACCACCACAAGUGGAAAAAGUACUAAAUUGGCAUACUUGACUAAAGAUACCUUAGUAGAAAAUGACUCGCGAAAGUCAUCCAAUAAAAUACAAGUUUUUGGUUUUAAAUAUCAAAAGUAAUUAUUUCAAGUUACUUUUUAAAAAUGUACGAAUAGCCAAGGUGCAUUCCCAACACUGACAUCAUUUACAAAUGAAGCAUGUGUGUUUAGUGAGUCCACCAGAUCAGAGGCAGUAGGGAUGAACAGGGAUGUUCUCUGUUUAGUGAGUCCUCCAGAUCAGAGGCAGUAGGGAUGAACAGGGAUGUUCUCUGUUUAGUGAGUCCACCAGAUCAGAGGCAGUAGGGAUGAACAGGGAUGUUCUCUGUUUAGUGAGUCCACCAGAUCAGAGGCAGUAGGGAUGAACAGGGAUGUUCUCUGUUUAGUGAGUCCACCAGAUCAGAGGCAGUAGGGAUGAACAGGGAUGUUCUCUGGAUAAGUGUGUGAAUUGGACCAUUUGUCUGUCCUGCUAAGCAUUCAAAAUGUAACGAGGACUUUUGGGUGUCAGGUAAAAUGUAUGGAGUAAAAAGUACAGCAUUUCCUUUAGGAAUGUCUUGAAGUAAAAAAGUUGUCAAAAACAUAAAUAGUGAAGUACAGAUACACCAAUAACUAGUAAAGUGUUGUUUACUUAAGCGCUUUACACCACUGCACAUUAUACACAUUACCGAGUCAUCUUGAGAAACAAUUUCAAAAUACAAUAUCAGAAUGUACAUUGCCAGAUUUACACUUAUUCGUUCAAUUGGAUAAGACAUUGAUAUCCGUCCGGAUAUCAUAAGUAAUGACUUGAGUGUGACCUGAAUAAUUCUUCAUGAACGAAUAUAUUAGGGCACACGCCAGCGGUCAAUGAUUUCACACGCUGAAAUCAAACGGAACUACCCGGGGCGGGACUUCUCUUUUGCAAGGCGGAGGGUUUUCAACGUAGCACAAGAGAACAAAAUGGCUAUUUUCCCUUCUUAGCUUUAGCAUGCAAGCUAAACCCUCCUUUGUGCCUGAAAAUGCAGCACAAAUGUUUUACUUAUAACGUAUUAUGUUCAAACCCUUUUCAGCGUUUUUUGACGAUGUUUUAACCGGAACACGCGGCAACAACGAAAUGCGCUUUGGUCUACUCGCGAGAGAGACAGAGAUAUAUAUCGCUGGUCAAGCUUAUCUCCUGAAUUUCAAUCGGCUGGCACUUUGUCCUCGCUCGAGAAAUUAAUAAUGACCGAGCCUACCCGCGUCUGAAACGCGCCAGGCAGAAAUAGUCCUGCGUUUGGCCAAACGCUCUAUUUCUCAGAUUUCUAUCAUUAGCUUUCUCAACCCUCAUACAGAAAUGUAUUCGCUUACGUUACCCAACUGACUACGUCAGCGAACAACACGGAGGCGGGGGAAUCUUCAGCACACACACACACAAUAAAGUUUGUCUACCACUCCAAAAAUUCGUACGAUAAACUUGGUAUAUUAUGAAAUCUGUUUUUCGAUAUGAUACAGGCUGAAUCAAAAUUAAAGCGUCAUUCUAUUUUAGAUUCCUCUCAGGUGGCUCCAAUUAUGUCGUGUCUUUGGCUAUGCCGGAUUAAGUGAUAUGUGUAAGGAAGUGCUAUUUCUUAUGCAGGUGACCAGCCUACUGCUAUUACAUUGCUAUAACUGAGACAACGUAUUUUCACAGUAAAACAUGUUAGGUCCCAUACAGGAUAGCUCCCACACCCACACACACAGCACACACACAUUACACACACUAACUGCCGAGGACACACAGAUAAGACAUACACCCACACAUUGGGAGGAAGAGACAGCCUUGACUUGCAGAAACCAGCGCACACACCUAAUCUCCUUUCUAGCCGAACAUUGUGUGACUGAGGACAGCGCACACACCUAAUCUCCUUUUUUAGCUGAACAUUGUGUGACAAGGAACGGCACGACAAGACUCAGAGGGAUGACGGACGGCCCAACAGGGCCAAUCCAAGAAGACUACACCUCAGCCUGAACCAACCCGAAGACCCGAUCUUCUAGAAUCAACCUACUUUCUGUUCUGUAUAUGAGACAUGUGCAAACUGUUAGCGGGGCUUCUUUUCUGCUGGUUCCUUAAGAACCGAAUGAAAUGGGCCCGUAUACGUUGUACCAGAUAUCUUUACUCAUAAUUAAACUGUCACUUGUCAUACAAUUUACCACCUUGUCUGAAUCGAUCCUUGACCGGCUCACCCUCCUACAUAUCCCAUUAUCAACAUAUGACAUGCUAUUCUAUAAAAUAAUUUCUCCGUAAUUAAUAUCACCUGAUUGAGCUAAUCAUGUAAAUGUAAUUAACUAGAGAGUCGGGCACCACAAAAUAAUAUUUAUAGAGCUGUUAUCUUCCGAA
ensembl:lncRNA